rnacentral:rRNA from 1 species
GUUAAACGGCCGCGGUAUCUUGACCGUGCGAAGGUAGCAUAAUCACUUGUCUCCUAAAUAGAGACUAGUAUGAAUGGCAAGACGGAGCUUAACUGUCUCCUUUUUUUUCUCAUAAAUUCACUUUCCCGUGAAGAGGCGGGAAUUUGCUCGCUAGACGAGAAGACCCUGUCGAGCUUAAAGAAGUUCUUAGGUUAAAAUUUACCCUAACAUCUUACUAAUUAAUAUAACUAUAAGAGUUAAGAUUUUUAGUCCCAAGGAUACUUUUGGUUGGGGCAACCACGGAGAAAAUAAAUCCUCCGUUUACUAUAUUCAAAAUGUUUAAUAAUAAGAAGUACACUUCUAUAAUAAAUAAAAUUUAAUAUGUGACCCGCUUAUUUAGGCGAUUAAAGGAAUAAGUUACCGCAGGGAUAACAGCGUUAUCUUUUUUGAGAGUUCACAUUGACAAAAAGGUUUGCGACCUCGAUGUUGGAUCGGGACAUCCUAAGAGUGCAGAAGCUUUUAAGGGUUGGUCUGUUCGACCA